rnacentral:snoRNA from 1 species
UAGCAAGCAUCCAGUGUGCUUGGGUCUACUGCACUCUUACAGUGCUUGCCAGAACUGUUUUGAAACAGUUUGAGGCCUUGCCCUGCUCCACCCAGAGCAAGGUUAUAGAAAUUUCAGAUAAUU